rnacentral:rRNA from 1 species
GACGAACGCUGGCGGCGUGCUUAACACAUGCAAGUCGAACGAUGACGACCGAGCUUGCUCGGUCUGAUUAGUGGCGAACGGGUGAGUAACACGUGAGCAACCUGCCCUUCACUCUGGGAUAACCUCGGGAAAUCGGGGCUAAUACCGGAUAUGAGCUCCUGUCGCAUGGCGGGUGUUGGAAAGUUUUUCGGUGAAGGAUGGGCUCGCGGCCUAUCAGUUUGUUGGUGAGGUAGUGGCUCACCAAGGCGAUGACGGGUAGCCGGCCUGAGAGGGCGACCGGCCACACUGGGGCUGAGACACGGCCCAGACUCCUACGGGAGGCAGCAGUGGGGAAUAUUGCACAAUGGGCGAAAGCCUGAUGCAGCGACGCCGCGUGAGGGAUGACGGCCUUCGGGUUGUAAACCUCUUUCAGCAGGGAAGAAGCGAAAGUGACGGUACCUGCAGAAGAAGCGCCGGCUAACUACGUG